AACUGCACCGACUGGAGUGUUUUUGAAGCUACUUUGCCCACUUCCUUGUAGACAGGGGACCAGACAAAAGGUGCUAGGGACGCUGCCACAGGGUGUCACAGAAUGCAUUUAUUCAGUAUUUGAAAUGAUUGUCUCAUGUCUACAUAGAGGUUGAACCAAUGGAGCGUUUGGGGCAUCCAACCGUGUCUGUAUGAGUCUUUAUCGGAGGAGGAAAGAAAUGUUGAGGAAGAGAUUGGAAAUGAACACUUCUGAUUGGAACGUUUUCUCUUAUACAGUACAUAUACAUUAGCUAUAAUAUUCACACUUUGGCCCAGCCACACCAACGACCAGUAGAUUAGUCAUAACUUUGUUUUCAGCAUUGUAACAAGAACAAUGUAACUACUGUGCAGCUUUGUCAACAAUGAUUUUACAAUGCUAAUUAGUAUCGUGGAUCAUAUCUGUAAUGAUGUUAUUUUCCAGAUGAUGAUGCUACUGCUGAUGAUUCCAGCCAUCUGAAGGUCAACCAUCUGUAACCUGUAAGAUCUGCAAAGCAGGAACUUUUUGACUGCAUCGACAGGAGUGUUUUUGAAGCUGCAACACUCAACCUGGACGAAGUUACUGAGGCAGGCAAGAAACUCACCGACACAGGAGGUCACAGUGGCUAAAAGAAGCUACACUGAAAAGCUUUCAACGACCACAAUUGGGUAGAGUAAGGAAAAGCUGUACUCAAGUAAAAGUAUUGUUACUUUAUAAUAAUAGUAACUCAAGUAAAAAAAAAAGUAUGGAAAGCUGUACUCAAGGAAAAGUAAACCUGAUAAACUACACUAACAGGUCGGGUUGCCAAGGCAGCAGGUGACGUGAGGGGCCUCAGGGGAAGAGUGACACACAAAACACAGAUGGAACUCUCCUAACACUCUAAUAACCAUACACACUCCAUGCCAUACAAUACAAUAUAACCAUACAAUACUCUAGCCACAGAAGCUCUCAUGCAAAUACUCCCUCUACACACACACACACAUGCAAACACAUAUACACACACACACACAUACACACACUCACACACACACACGUAAACACACACACACACACAUGCAAACACAUACACACACACACAAUGUAUACAAUUUGUCAUGGAACAAAGAGUACAAGAGAGAAAGAUGAACCUUUUAUCCGUCACAGCGCUCUAACACCAUCUAAUCUCUGUUGACGUUGUUUUGGGAAGACAGUGCACUUACAGUAACAGGCUGUUAAAGAAAGUAUUAGUAUAUUUUAUCAUGAAUGUUUUAGCUAAAAGGCUUGUUCAAAAUGUUGUGUGUAAAGUGUGUAGGUUGAUUUUGGAAAAACACUGAGUGAGUCAAGAAUGUGAAACCACGUGAUGUUUUUCUGACAGAAGCGGG
ensembl:lncRNA